UCUCCAUCAGUGAGGGGCCGGUGCUGGAUACUGUGUAGGGACGCGGGAAUGCAAAGUCAUACACAUGACUGUGACUGAUGCAGUAUCUCCAGGACAUGGAGUAGCAUUUCCGGACCUACAGCAAGACGUUGGAUGAAGGCAUAGCCCCAGAAAUAACACUGGUCCUGUUCAUCAGUGAGGGGCCGGUGCUGGACACUGUGUAGGGACACGGGAAUGCAAAGUCAUGCACAUGACUGUGACUGAUGCACUAUUUCCAGGACAUGAAGUAGCAUUUCGGGACCUACAGCAAGACGUUGGAUGAAGGCACAGGCCUAGGAAUCAUGCACAUACACAGAAACAUUUGCCCAAAUUCUAGAGGUAACCUCCUUUAGUAUGCCCAGAGGAAGGGCCAUACAGUAGCCAUGGAUUCCCUACAGGUUUCCUCCCCUCUGGAGGUUUUUCCUGUCCUGAGUAUUAGUUACUGUACGCUCUUUGUGAGUGAUGGGAGGUUACAAAAAAUCCCCUACACAAACAUUUUAAUAAAUUAUAAAUAAAGUUCCCCUUUUUUUAAACUGUU